rnacentral:rRNA from 1 species
CGUAGGAAUCUGCCCAUUUGUGGGGGAUAACCCGGCGAAAGCCGGGCUAAUACCGCAUACGCUCUACGGAGGAAAGCAGGGGAUCGUAAGACCUUGCGCUAAUGGAUGAGCCUACGUCGGAUUAGCUAGUUGGUAGGGUAACGGCCUACCAAGGCGACGAUCCGUAGCUGGUCUGAGAGGACGAUCAGCCACACUGGGACUGAGACACGGCCCAGACUCCUACGGGAGGCAGCAGUGGGGAAUAUUGGACAAUGGGGGCAACCCUGAUCCAGCAAUGCCGCGUGUGUGAAGAAGGCCUGCGGGUUGUAAAGCACUUUCAGAGGGGAAGAAAAAAUCGGAGCUAACACCUCCGGUCUUGACGUUACCCUUAGAAGAAGCACCGGCUAACUCCGUGCCAGCAGCCGCGG